rnacentral:misc_RNA from 1 species
UUUCCGUAGGUGAACCUGCGGAAGGAUCAUUAAUAAAUUUUUUUUGAAAUAAAAAAAAAAUAAUAAUCAUCCCUACCCUUUGUGAAUUUGUUUUGUUGAAUAAUUUUUUAAAAUUAUUUAUUGUCUAUCCAAGUUGGAAAGUUGUAAAAGACUAGAAGACUGGAGCGGCAUAAUAAAUUUUAAAGACUUUUUUCUAAAUUAAACUUUUUGUAUUCAUUUGUCUAAAAUAAUUUUUAUAAUAUAUAAAAACAACUUUUGACAAUGGAUCUCUUGGUUCUCGCAACGAUGAAGAACGAAGCAAAAUGCGAUAAGUAAUGUGAAUUGCAGAAUACGUGAAUCAUCGAAUCUUCGAACGCAUAUUGCACUUUUUUAGUUUACUAAAAAAGUAUGUCUGUUGAGUAUCAGUAAAAUAUUCUCAUAAAAUUUUUUAAUUUUAUGGUUAUGAGUGUUUUACAACGAUAAACAAGUUGUUUCACUUUAAUUGAAUUUUUUGAAGAAAUUCUUUAAUUCAAAUUAAAUUUGGAUAAAAUUUUCCCGUAAAAAGGAAUAACUAUACAAGUUUAUAAGAAUUUAGUGAUUUCUUUAUGAAAAGGAAAUUUAUUAAAUAACUUGAUCUCAAAUCAGAUAAGAGUACCCGCUGAACUUAAGCAUAUCAAUAAGCGGAGGAAAAGAAACUAACAAGGAUUCCCUAGUAACGGCGAGUGAAGCGGGAAGAGCUCAAAUUUGAAAUCUUAAAGGGUUUCCCUUUACGAAUUGUAGUUUAAAGAAGUGUUUUCUGUUGAGUUUUGGUAAAAGUUCUUUGGAAUAGGACAUCAUAGAGGGUGAGAAUCCCGUAUUUGACCUUUACUUUCAACUUGUGAUACACUUUCAAAGAGUCGGAUUGUUUGGGAAUGCAGUCCAAAUGGGUGGUAAAUUUCAUCUAAAGCUAAAUAUUGGCGAGAGACCGAUAGCGAACAAGUACCGUGAGGGAAAGAUGAAAAGAACUUUGAAAAGAGAGUUAAACAGUACGUGAAAUUGUCAAAAGGGAAGCGUUUGACACCAGUGUUGUUUUUCUGAAAUCAAUUAAAGAACUGUUUAUGCUAAGUUGUUUAGACUUUAUCAGCUAACUGUUUAGUUUUGAGCUUUUCUUUAAUGCACUUUUCAGUUAACAAGUCAACAUCAAUUUCUUUUGCUGUAAAAAAGCUUGAGGAAGGUGGCUUGAGAUUCGUCUUAAGUGUUUAUAGCCUCUUGCCUAUGCAGUCGGAGAGAUUGAGGUCUGCAGCGUAGAUCCUUCGGGGCUAAAUGCAUUUGUGCUAAGUUAUAGCAUUUUAUAGACAACUUGUUGACUAUGAUUUGUCUUGUAGCUUACUCGCUUAUGUUAUUU